AUGCCAGGGGCUGCUCUCCCGCCUUGGGAGCCCGGAGCCGGAUCUACAAUCCCGUCUCUCCCGCUCCGGCGCUUGUUGCUCGCCCGGCCCGUGCGGGAGCUGCCGCCGCGGGGCACCAGGGCUGCUUCCUUCUCCUCCUUCUAGAGAGCCCCACCUCCCCCAAGAACAGGUUGAAGGGGAAAAGCGGCCUCAGGUGGAGGGAAGGGGUGCUGUGUUUAGAGGCGCCGCUCCCCACCUUCAAGUCUUGAGGCGCUGCGUAGCCGCGGUGGCAAGACAUGCGCUGCUCCCCCCUGCCCAGCCUCGCAGCCGCUGGCGCCCGGAGAGGAGAGACUGCGGAGCCCACACCUGCAAACUCGCCCUAGAAGUCUCAGGGUGCGGCGGGGGGCCCCUCCCAAUUCCCCACGGCCUCCAACUCUAGGCGGGUGGUCUGGGCCCCUGUCCGGGGACCUGUGCCAAUGACCCUAGUGGUGGUUUCGCUUUCUCCUCUCACGGCGGUGUGAACGUGUGUCCGCAGCGUGAUGGGCAACCAGGUGGAGAAACUGACCCACCUAAGUUAUAAGGAAGUUCCCACUGCCGACCCAACGGGCGUGGACCGGGACGACGGGCCCCGCAUCGGGGUCUCCUACAUCUUCUCCAAUGACGACGAGGACGUGGAGCCGCAGCCGCCGCCCCAGGGGCCGGUUGGCGGUGGCGGCGGUUUGCCCGACGGCGGGGAUGGGCUGACGCUGCCCUCGCCGCAGCCCUAUGACCCGCGGCUGCACGAGGUGGAGUGCUCUGUGUUCUACCGCGACGAGUGCAUCUACCAGAAAAGCUUCGCGCCGGGCUCCGCGGCCCUGAGCACUUACACGCCCGAGAACCUGCUCAACAAGUGCAGGCCUGGCGACCUGGUGGAGUUCGUGUCGCAGGCGCAGUACCCGCACUGGGCUGUCUACGUGGGCAACUUCCAGGUGGUGCAUUUGCACCGGCUGGAGGUGAGCAACAGCUUCCUGACGGACGCGAGCCAGGGCCGGCGCGGCCGCGUGGUAAACGAUCUAUACCGCUACAAGCCGCUGAGCCCCAGCGCCGUGGUGCGCAACGCGCUGGCGCACGUGGGCGCCAAGGAGCGCGAGCUGAGCUGGCGCAACUCGGAGAGCUUCGCCGCCUGGUGCCGCUACGGCAAGCGCGAAUUCAAGAUCGGCGGCGAGCUGCGCAUCGGUAAGCAGCCCUACCGGCUGCAGAUCCAGCUCUCUGCGCAGCGUAGCCACACGCUCGAGUUCCAGAGCCUGGAGGACCUGAUCAUGGAGAAGCGGCGCAACGACCAGAUCGGGCGCGCCGCGGUGCUGCAGGAGCUCGCCACGCACCUGCACCCCGCCGAGCCGGACGUAGGCGACAGCGACGCCGCGCGGACUACGCCGCCUCCCGGGCGCCCCCCCGCGCCCGCCCGGGAGGAGGGGGACCGAGAGGCGGUGGUUCACUGACCGGCGAGUUGAGAGCGGAGCUAUGUGAGGGAGCUGUUGUAGCAGCCGCUGCCCCCUCCCUCCUCUCACUCCCUCCUCCACCACCUUCUGGGCCCCUUCUGGGCUCCUGGGCCGUUUGGAAAACGGAGAGUUGGCGAAAAGCGCAGCCAGCUGUGGCUUGAGUUUGUUAUCUUGGACGGAGGAGGAAGAGGGAGCAGAUAUGGGCACCAACAAGGAGCACAAGCCAUCAGGAAAUCACGCGGCAAAGGCUCACACUACAAUUGAAUUUUAGCACUGCUAAAAUGAACUUGAAGACUGAAAUUGUUGUCCAGCUUAGUUGAGCUCAGUUUGGGACAAGCUCAUUUGGAAUUUCCUGCCUUUUCUGUAAAAGAUCCAGCAAGCUUGUGAGGAAUCAUUAUCUCCAUGUUAAAGAUGAAGAAACUGAGAAUGGGACAUAAUAUGACUUGCCGACUAAUCAUCCUAAGUGCUUCCAUGGACCCCUGAUUGCUGCUUGAGGAGAAUUGCCCUGUGGAUUUGACUGACCAACGAUUGCGAUAUAAGCAGUUUCAGGUGACUGGCCCAGCAGGAGUGAGAAGAAUUUAUCUUCAGUAUAAACUUCAUUAUUCUACAGUGUCUCUUCAUUUGCCUGGGAGGUGAGAAUAUUGAGACUCAAGGAGAUUAAGCAAGGGAGUACUUUCACUGCUCAAAUGUAAUGAUGCCAUGACUUUGAUGGAGUGUUCACCACCCCUCAUACACUGCUUUCUUCACCCAAGUGCUAAUUCCAUCUUGUCAGAUGCUGUGUCCUUUCCUGGCUGAGGAAACCAGGAUCUACAGUGGUGAUAAAACAACCAAAACCCAGACUAGUUCAGUAGCCUGCCUGUUGCCAACAAGCGAUGGAAACAUGCCUCACGCCCACUUCAUUCUGCUUGCAAACCAAGUGACUGCUCUCACAUUUAGUUAGGAGGAGCCCUGAGAAUCGUCUGUGCCUGUUGCAGACACACAAAUCCUGAGGACACCCAAGCAGGUUGUAGAACCCCUCCAUAUAUAUUCUAUAGCUGGGGCAGCUGCUACCUGACCACAAGAAUUACAUAAGAAUCAAGAUUAUGGAGGCUAGAAUUUUUUUUGUAAAAAAGGUACUGAAGAUACAGAUGUGAGCAAGAUAGAUAAGGACCCUACCCUCCUGGAGUUUUUAUUCUUGGGGAGAGAGACCAGGCAAUACACAAGAAAGGGCUCUCCUGUCUUUCUUUGAGUUUCACUUGCUUGCAUCUCAACUUGGAAGAUUGUAGACUUGCUGAUGGAUGAAAGAAUUCUCUGACUGGCAUGUAAACCAUGGUGUGAACUAGAUGAAGAGGAGAAAGAAGAGUCUCUGGCACUAGCAAAAACACAGUUGAAACGCCCCUGAGAUGGGAAUGAGCUGGGCACCUCCACAGAACUAAAGAAGGACCCUGCCGGCUGAAGCAGAAGAACAGGGAAAAGAGUAAGAGCUGGCAUGGUCCCCAUAUGCAUGGCUAUACCAACGACGUUAACAAGUAUGGUCUUCACCUUAAGAACAAUGCUAAAACAUUGAAGAGAUCUAAGGUCUUUCAAGGGAGGCAACUCUGCUGCUACGGCUGCUGGUACCACCUAAUAAGAACGAAAUCCUGCUUUUCUUCCUAGGGCCUUUUCUUGUUCUCAAAGCUGCAGACCCCCGAGAGACCAGGUAGUGUUCCUGAACUGCUUUUCUCUGGCAUCAACUCCUAUCUCUCUCAGCUGUCUUGUCUGAUCGGGACCCAGCCCAAUACCUGAGACUCAACUUUACAUCACUUCCAGGAAGAUACCAUAGCUCCUGUUCACAUAAGAAGAAACCACCUCUGAAAGAUUGAAUGACCUGCUCAUGGUCCCACGGAGCUGAAGAGAGCUGUGAGCUGAAGCCCAAUUUGUCUGACUCUGAAGAACCUGCUCUGAAUCACUCUACUGCACACAGAAGAAAGGAAAGGCAGGAUAUGCAAGGCAAACAGAGAACAUUGUGUCCCAAAAGAGGCUGCUCCUUCCACCCGGAUCCUGGAAUGAAGACACAUGAAUCACAGCCAACAUGUGAUAAGUUCAUGUUCUUUGUCUGUGAGUCUCAGCCAUAACAAAGAAGGACAUAAUGCCAUUUUCAGCAACAUGGAUGGACUUAGAGAUUAUCCUACUAAGUGAAGAAAGCCAGACAGAGGAAGACAAGUAUCAUAUGCUGUCACUUAUAUGUGGAAUCUAAAAAAUAAUACAAAUGAACUUAGUUACGAAACAGAAACAAACUCCCAGACAUGGGGAAGUUUUCUGAAAGGAGGUAUUGGAGCUCGGUCUUAAUGGAUACAUGGACGUUAUCCAGAAAGAGAAGAGCAGAGAAAUCAUCCCAGGCAGAGCACAAAGUGCACAAGGAAGAAGGUGUCGGUGGAAACCCAGAGCAGCAUCGAGCGGGGCCCCCCUGUCACAGGCCACAGAGGGACACCCGGAGAGAGCAGCUGCUACCCCAGGUGAACCCGGCCAGCCCUUGGAACACAGCUGCACCCCCAGGUUUCACUUUCCAGGGUGACUCAGAGGAUGACGCGGAGCGGCUUUGGGCUCCCUGGUGGUUUUUCGCAGCGACAGCUUCUGCUUGUGGGGUCAUCACUGGUGAGUAACGAGACAGACAGCCUUUAUAGAUGGAAAGUGAGAAAAUAUCAAAGUGCUCAAAGCAGGAAGCGAGAGGAGCGGGUAGAGCAAAAGAGAAGCGAGCAUUAUUGAUUCCCUUUUUGGAGCCAGUCCGGCUGCCUUCUUGCCUGCCCCCCUCAGCAAAAGGAGAAUCUCAAUCCCACAGCUACAUCCACCGCGGAGGUCAAGUGGAAUGUUCUUACAGGCUCCCCAGACCUUCUUGCCCUUUCUCCUACGCCAGAGCUGAAGCAGCCCCUUCCACAGGGUAUUGGGACACAGCUUUGCCGUCUCUGAGAGCCCUGCCCUGCCCUGCCCUGCCCUGCUGCCCCAAGAUCUGCCUUCCAGAUAUCCAGGACACAGCUCACAUCUUCUCAAACCUGCUCACACACUCAGCCCCUGGCCUGGCUGCAACUCCACUGAGCCCCCAGGUAAAAAUGGUCUAGGUAAAGAGAAGGAUAAUGCUUGGAAGAUUAAAACAUCCCUGCCUCACGUAUACGCUUACGUGAGGAUUCUCCCAGCAACCCUCGUGGAAGGCGUGUUGAUCCACCCUGCUCAGACAAGAAACUGAGGUUUGCACUCAUGUGCCAAGGCUCAUGCCAGGCACUGUACCACUGCAACUCUGAGGAGGAGAUGGCGGUGUCUGACCCAGAAAGUCCCAUUUUAGCAUGGCGUGUGUGACUAGCUGACACCCCCCUGUGCUAGGGACCAUGGGAGACCCAAAGAAAGAGGAGGCAUUGCCUUUACCCUCGAUGGCGAGGACACCUAAAGGCAUGCCCGCUGUGUGCCAGGCACUGUGCCGGUCACCUAACAUGAACCACCUUAAACAGAUGAUCCCUUCCAACAACUGCUUUGAGGUCGGGAUUAUCACACCUGUUCUACAGACAAGGAAACAGAGCCUCAGGGAAGCUGAACGUGAUGCAUCAAAGACCCAAGAACAAGUAAAUGGAAGAUUCGGUCCCCAAAGCUAUGCCCUUUCGACUCCAGGAGAGAUCACCACCGUGAACGAUGCAGACUCCGGGGCCCCACCCCAGCUUGGCUGAAUCAGCAUCUCCGAGGGUGGGACCCCGGGGAUGUGUUUUUAAAACCAUUUCUCUUCAUGAUUUUCUGAUUGGCCAAGUGCGAGAACACUGACCUCCAUCAGGGGCCCUGAGGUGGGGACUCAAGGCCUCUAUGCCUCAAAGGUCCAGUAAUACGAGACAGUGAGCCAGGAUUGUCACCAGGAGGCUGCGACAUGGACGGCUGAUGGCACAGCGGUUAGAGCAUAGUCUCUGGAGCCAGGUCGCUUGAGCUUGAAUCCCGGCCCUGCUGAAUGCUAGCUGUGUCACCUUGGGCAAGCCACAGUCUUCCUUGUGCCUCAGUUUCCUCAUCUGAAAAAUUGCAGUCAGGAUAGGACACAUCUAGAAGGUUGUUUGGGGGACUGAAUGAGUUAAAUGUGUAGAAAGUUUAAAACAGUGCCUGCCACAGAGUAACCAUCCAAAAUGCUGUUGUCAUUGUUCCAUGAUCAAUUGCCCCAAAUGACACAAGAAAGAAGAGGAUAUUUGACACUGUGGUUCUUGAAAGGGCAGGUAAAAGGGCGGAGUUCCAAAGGAUUUGGA